CGGGUGCACUGAUCCGGCCGGGCCUUUCCCUCUGUGGAACCCCAUGGCCUUCACUGGCUGUGCGGGGGAAACAGGACUUUUACUGUGAAAAAAUUAGAGUGCUCCAGGCAGGCCUAUGCUCGAAUACAUUAGCAUGGAAUAAUAGAAUAGGACGCGUGGUUCUAUUUUGUUGGUUUCUAGGACCGCCGUAAUGAUUAAUAGGGACAGUCGGGGGCAUCAGUAUUCAAUUGUCAGAGGUGAAAUUCUUGGAUCUAUUGAAGACUAACUACUGCGAAAGCAUUUGCCAAGGAUGUUUUCAUUGAUAAGGAACGAAAGUUAGGGGAUCGAAGACGAUCAGAUACCGUCGUAGUCUUAACUAUAAACUAUGCCGACUAGGGAUCGGACGAUGUUAUUUCUUGACGCGUUCGGCACCUUUCGAGAAAUCAAAGUGCUUGGGCUCCAGGGGGAGUAUGGUCGCAAGGCUGAAACUUAAAGAAAUUGACGGAAGGGCACCACCAGGGGUGGAACCUGCGGCUUAAUUUGACUCAACACGGGGAAGCUCACCAGGUCCAGACACAGUGAGGAUUGACAGAUUGAGAGCUCUUUCUUGAUUCUGUGGGUGGUGGUGCAUGGCCGUUCUUAGUUGGUGGAGUGAUUUGUCUGCUUAAUUGCGAUAACGAACGAGACCUUAACCUGCUAAAUAGCCCGUACUGCUCUGGCAGUUCGCCGGCUUCUUAGAGGGACUAUCGG
rnacentral:rRNA from 1 species